UAGCUAGUUGGUGAGGUAAAGGCUUACCAAGGCGACGAUCUGUAGCGGGUCUGAGAGGAUGAUCCGCCACACUGGAACUGAGACACGGUCCAGACUCCUACGGGAGGCAGCAGUGGGGAAUUUUGGACAAUGGGGGCAACCCUGAUCCAGCCAUGCCGCGUGAGUGAAGAAGGCCUUCGGGUUGUAAAGCUCUUUCGGCCGGGAAGAAAUCGCAUGGGCCAAUACCCUGUGUGGAUGACGGUACCGGAAUAAGAAGCACCGGCUAACUACGUGCCAGCAGCCGCGGUAAUACGUAGGGUGCGAGCGUUAAUCGGAAUUACUGGGCGUAAAGCGUGCGCAGGCGGUUUUGUAAGACAGGCGUGAAAUCCCCGGGCUUAACCUGGGAACUGCGUUUGUGACUGCAAGGCUAGAGUACGGCAGAGGGGGGUGGAAUUCCACGUGUAGCAGUGAAAUGCGUAGAGAUGUGGAGGAACACAAAUGGCGAAGGCAGCCCCCUGGGUCGAUACUGACGCUCAUGCACGAAAGCGUGGGUAGCAAACAGGAUUAGAUACCCUGGUAGUCCACGCCCUAAACUAUUUCAACUAGGUGUUGGGUGGGUAAAACCAUUUAGUACCGUAGCUAACGCGUGAAGUUGACCGCCUGGGGAGUACGGCCGCAAGGUUAAAACUCAAAGGAAUUGACGGGGACCCGCACAAGCGGUGGAUGAUGUGGAUUAAUUCGAUGCAACGCGAAAAACCUUACCUACCCUUGACAUGCCAGGAACUUGCCAGAAAUGGCUUGGUGCCCGAAAGGGAGCCUGGACACAGGUGCUGCAUGGCUGUCGUCAGCUCGUGUCGUGAGAUGUUGGGUUAAGUCCCGCAACGAGCGCAACCCUUGUCGUUAAUUGCCAUCAUUUAGUUGGGCACUUUAACGAGACUGCCGGUGACAAACCGGAGGAAGGUGGGGAUGACGUCAAGUCCUCAUGGCCCUUAUGGGUAGGGCUUCACACGUCAUACAAUGGUCGGUACAAAGGGUUGCCAAGCCGCGAGGCGGAGCCAAUCCCAGAAAGCCGAUCGUAGUCCGGAUUGCAGGCUGCAACUCGCCUGCAUGAAGUCGGAAUCGCUAGUAAUCGUGGAUCAGCAUGUCACGGUGAAUACGUUCCCGGGUCUUGUACACACCGCCCGUCACACCAUGGGAGCGGGUUCCGCCAGAAGUAGGUAGCCUAACCGCAAGGGGGGCGCUUACCACGGCGGGGUUCGUGACUGGGGUGAAGUCGAAACAAGGUAGCCGUAGGGGAACCUGCGGCUG
rnacentral:rRNA from 1 species